AGGGUCUCUGGGGCAGAUCGGUGUUCAGAAACUAAUGGGGUACCUGCCCCCAGAGGUGGAGAAAGGAGAGAAGGGACGGGGUGGGCACAGCAGCACAGAGGCUGCCCCCAGUUGCCGGGAGGGUCGAGAGGAAGCGCUUGGCCAAGCGGGUCUCAGCAGUGCCACCCCCUGCUCCGUGGAGAUGGCCUGUCCCCAGCCCUGGGUGGUGCUUGCAUCCCGCCCCCCACGUCCAGAAUCCAGAGAGCCAGGGCCGGACUCCAAGGGCAGCACAGGCCAGUUUGCCAGGGACCGCGGCCCGGGUGUCCUAGGCCUCCGAGGUGGGGCGGGGAGGCCCAGGGCCUGCACACAUGGCCCUGGCCAAGUCUGGGAGCGGGGAGGGGGGGGAGCUGCCCGACUAAACAGGGAGGCCCCGAGGUGGACACAGGCUGUGCGUGGGGGGGCUUCAGGCUGACGCAGAGGCCAGCACUUCACAAGAGGAGGCGCACAGGGCUGGGGCUGGGGUGCCCAGAAGCCGGUCUGGCGGCUCUGUGUCUCCCCGACUGUCCACUGAGCCCUGGUCAGGGAGAGGAAGGGGCCCUGGGGAGCCCGAGGCUUCCCCGCAGUCAGAGGCCCAGCGCCCACUCCUCCCGGCACCUGAGGAACAGAGAGGGGCGCCCACUGAGCCUGUCUCUCAGGGUGGAGGCGGCUGCAGCAGCAUGGCCAGGCCUGGUCCUGCAGAAAGCAGCCUGUCCCUGCUUCCCAGGUGUGUGUGUGCACGUGUGCCAGGACCCCCUACACGGGCUUCCCAAAGCCCAGGGAGGAAGAAGCCAAGGAGGUAGAGGGGAGCCCUGGAACCCCCCGGGGGGUCCAAGGCACCGUGCACAUCCUCACUGGACACCAAACCCCACUGGGCACAGGGCCAUGGUCUUUACCUGCAAGGAACUGGACGCCUGUCCCCUCAGUGACGACAAGGUCCUUCACCACCAAUUUGCAAGCGGCCUUGCCGCGGAGACCCCUUCCAGCCCUCCCCUCCUGCGAGACCUCAAAGCCGGUGACGUCCAGGCAGGACAGUCACAGCAAGGUCGGAGGGGCCGUGGGACAACAGGAGGCUGGGGUGCCUCUCACGCACCUGGAGCCGUGGGACCAGAACGGGACGCCCCGCAGAGGCGCCGAGGCGCAGACUCGCUGCUGCGGGGGUGUCCCGGCGGCCGCACCGACGAGUCCCCGCGCGGCUGCACCGAGGUGUCCCCCCCCCCAGCGCGGCCGCACCCACGGCGUCUCCUGCGGAGGGGGUGGGUGGAGGCGGCUCCUGGGCGGCAGCCGGGCCGGGGCCGGGCGCCCCCUGGUGGUGCCCUGCUGGGGGCUCCGCGGGGCCGCGGUCCAGCCGGCCGCCCCCACCGGGUCCCCCUUCCCCACCCUGGGGGCCCGUCCGGAGAGGGGAGCCGUCGGAGCCGCCAAGGGAGCUGCGAGGGGCAGGAGCCUCAUUGUGCAAGCUGCCUUCCGCUCCCUCCUGGACUGGGGACCCCAGAGAGUAGAGACACGACCCUGCCUUCAGCGGGGACCUGGCACGGGACUCCAUCCCAGGGCGUCGGCGUCCCGCCUCCCACCAGGGAACACUCUGGCGCUCGGCCCCUGGGCCCUACCCCUGCGCAGACGUGCUCUGCAGACACUGAGAUGGCCACACGCCCUAGAAAUCUCAGCCCCCGAGAACCAGCUCUUUUACCGCCAGCUUGCCAGGGGUCCGUGUGUGUCUCCCCCCCUCGCUGCACUUUCCUCCCUUAA
rnacentral:lncRNA from 12 species